CAUCUCCGUACUGGUUAAAGGCUAGGCUAACGAUCAAGUUUUCCAUUCUUGGCAUGUUCUAACCGCCACAAACCUUAAGCCCUUACUUCUGGAAUCUCAGUGGAGAUUGUUAGUCUUAAACUGAUGAUGAAAGAUGUGGGAUUCUUUCCUACCUGCAGGAGAGGAUCAUUGUUGGAAUACAGACAACUGUGUGGCUGUAACGUUAGGCCUACUGUCCAGACCUCAUUCCGACUCAGACUGAGCACAUGGACAUGGUCCCUGGGUGCCUUCUGUUGGCUGCCUACCUGAGAGUCACUGCUUGGAUGGGGGAAAACAUACCUUUGCCAUACGACUAUUAUAUAGUUAUUACUACUAACUAGUUACUUACCCCUAACCCUAAAGAAGUGAGAGAGCAGUAAUGUUAGAAUUAAUAACUAUAGUGAUAUUUUAAUUAAAUAUAAUUUGUGUUACAACCUGGUACAUUAAUGAAGUAAAAUAGCACCAUAGACCACCAUCUACAGUUCUACAUUUCCGCCUUGACAUUAAAGAAUUAUAACUUGUGCAGUAUUGCACUGUCUCUCCCUACAAGCUUUAAACUUGGCUUGACUCAUUCCCAUAGAUAGGGGUACUGAUUGAUGCUAUGUUAUGUUUCCAAGCUGAUAUUCACUUUGAAAACUGGUUCUCUUUAGGCGGAGAUAGUUUUUUUCAUGUUCUAGUUCUGUUGUCUCUUACACUGUACAAUAAAUGUCAAUUCUGACACUUCUGCAGACAGCCCAUGAGUGUUAGCUUUCAUUUGAUACCUUUUUUAUGUAUAUGGUCCUUGUGGUUGUGGAGAUAUUCAACAUUUAUUGCUGGCAUGUCGUGUUGAGCAGGAAACCAAAAAAUUGGCCUGAAAUUGCUUGUACAAGUCACA